GGUUCUCUCCCCUUGCCACCAUGAGUGAGUCAUUUGACUGUGCAAAAUGCAGCGAGUCCCUGUAUGGACGCAAGUACAUCCAGACAGACAGCGGCCCCUACUGUGUGCCCUGCUAUGACAAUACCUUUGCCAACACCUGUGCUGAGUGCCAGCAGCUUAUCGGGCAUGACUCGAGGGAGCUGUUCUAUGAAGACCGCCAUUUCCACGAGGGCUGCUUCCGCUGCUGCCGCUGCCAGCGCUCACUAGCCGAUGAACCCUUCACCUGCCAGGACAGUGAGCUGCUCUGCAAUGACUGCUACUGCAGUGCAUUUUCCUCGCAGUGUUCUGCCUGUGGGGAAACUGUCAUGCCUGGUAUGUCUUCAGGGGCUCAUCUUGUGUGAGAACUGGCAUCUGCGUAGGGUCUUUGCAUGUGUCUGAUACAUGGAGACUUGGUCUGUGUAAAGACCUGCAUACACAGCAUGUUUCUGGAAAUUUAGUAUAUGCGGGAUCUGUUUGCCUGGUAUACUCCUGGGGGCUACUAUGUGCAGGCAGAUUGACACAUGUGAUACAUACUUGGGGGCUUAGCAUGUGUGAAUAUCUGCAUGUUUAGUACAGGUAGGAACU
rnacentral:sRNA from 1 species